rnacentral:rRNA from 1 species
UUGAACGCUGGCGGCAUGCUUUACACAUGCAAGUCGAACGGUAACAGGCCUUCGGGUGCUGACGAGUGGCGAACGGGUGAGUAAUGCAUCGGAACGUGCCCAGAGGUGGGGGAUAACGCAGCGAAAGCUGUGCUAAUACCGCAUGUGAUCUGAGGAUGAAAGCGGGGGACCAAGCAGCAAUGUUUGGCCUCGCGCCUCUGGAGCGGCCGAUGUCAGAUUAGGUAGUUGGUGGGGUAAAGGCCUACCAAGCCGACGAUCUGUAGCUGGUCUGAGAGGACGACCAGCCACACUGGGACUGAGACACGGCCCAGACUCCUACGGGAGGCAGCAGUGGGGAAUUUUGGACAAUGGGCGCAAGCCUGAUCCAGCAAUGCCGCGUGCGGGAAGAAGGCCUUCGGAUUGUAAACCGCUUUUGUACGGAACGAAAAGGCUCUGGCUAAUACCUGGGGCUGAUGACGGUACCAUAAGAAUAAGCACCGGCUAACUACGUG